CCCAAAUCUGAUCUCUUGAUGAGUAAAAGUCUCCCUGUGCCUCUCUGCCAACGGACAGUGUCACUCUGUGAUUACACACAGAUUUGGACAAGUGUUUUCCCUUCUGACUCCUAACCUCGUUUUCCAACUUAGAUUAUUUGUUGGUAGAACAACAGCAGAGCCAUUGCCCACGUUAAGAAGGCUUAGAAGAUUGUUUGCCCAGAAUGCCUCCAACCUGACAUGUUUCAGCAUGAUAUUUCUGCAGUUUUGUGCCUUAACUUCUAGAAAGCACAACAAUGAAAAAUAAUUACUAAUUUCAAGUUGUUAUUGAAAGAUAUGUUACAAGCGAUUUUAUAAGAGUCAGCUAGGCAACCUGCAGUUGCUUUCCAGGUAGGAGGCAAAGAUAUUGUAGCAGAUGCUGUUGGCGUCCCACCCAUAUUGGUGGAUCCUUACCACUUCAGUGCUGGCCUGUCUCUUUCCUGCUGCUAGGAGCUGCAUCUCUUUGCUGAGGAUAGGCAAGACCACUCUUCCCCACUCACUGGAUGCAAAAGUGCCAAGAGAAAUCAACCAUUCCCACCCCCACAGCCUUUACCAUGACUGUUUGCAGUUGGUGUAUAAAUACCCCAGCUCCCUCCACCCUCAACAGUGUUACACUUUUGCCGCGUGUUACACUGCCGCGUGUUACACUUUUACAGUAUGUCCUGUACCAGUUCUCAGUUUCUCCACACAAUUAAGCUCCAACUUAAUUCCAAGAGCAGCUGGCCUAAUAAUGUGCCCUUAACUGGAUGCAGUCUCUUCCCUGUCUCGAUGCUCCGCUCCACUACUGUGUUUCCUGUACCAAUGGUGUGCUAGUAAACUGGUGCUCAAAACACAAAGAAAACAAAAACAAAACAAAACCAGCCCUGAGGUGUAGCACUUGCUGAUUUCCAUGAUGUAAAUACUCCUGCUAUGGCCUAUUUCAGGCUCUGUGAUUUCAGUUUGUCAUCACUGAACACAGAACUGAGAAGAGAUGUGCCCAGUCAGCUCUCCCCAGCCAGUACGAGCCACCUCCAGCACACCACGCCCUGUACCUCCUGAAUAAACCGUGCUCAAAUCCUUGUUUCAGGGUCUGCUUCUUGGGCAUCUCAAAGUAAGAGAAAAAAUAAAGUUCAGAGAAACUAGGUAAUUUCCUGAGGUAUGGACACUUUGUCAGUGGCUGAAGGAAUGCCUUAUUAUUACCUAACAAAUUAUAUGGUAAGAUGUGAGGUUAUUAUGUUAGUUACCUAGACUGUCACUUAUUUGUCAAACAGUAAUGCCUUAAAAGCAG
rnacentral:lncRNA from 1 species